UAGAAAGUGGUGUAGUAGGAAGCACUGGGAGUUUUGAGUUCCCCGGGCAGGGUUCGAGUCCCCCUUUUCUAA
rnacentral:tRNA from 2 species